CCUACGGGGGGCAGCAGUGGGGAAUAUUGGACAAUGGGCGAAAGCCUGAUCCAGCCAUGCCGCGUGUGUGAAGAAGGCCUUCGGGUUGUAAAGCACUUUCAGUGGGGAAGAAAGCCUUGGGGCUAAUACCCUCGAGGAAGGACAUCACCCACAGAAGAAGCACCGGCUAACUCCGUGCCAGCAGCCGCGGUAAUACGGAGGGUGCGAGCGUUAAUCGGAAUUACUGGGCGUAAAGCGCGCGUAGGCGGCCUGAUAAGCCGGUUGUGAAAGCCCCGGGCUCAACCUGGGAACGGCAUCCGGAACUGUCAGGCUAGAGUGCAGGAGAGGAAGGUAGAAUUCCCGGUGUAGCGGUGAAAUGCGUAGAGAUCGGGAGGAAUACCAGUGGCGAAGGCGGCCUUCUGGACUAACACUGACGCUGAGGUGCGAAAGCGUGGGUAGCAAACAGGAUUAGAUACCCUAGUAGUC
rnacentral:rRNA from 1 species